rnacentral:lncRNA from 1 species
AUAAACUUGGUGCUUUCAUAUAUAAUAUAUAAUGUAAUUACAAAAUAAGGUGAGUAUAAGGCAUCUGACUAUAUACAACAAUGAGGUAAGCUAGUAACAAUAUUGUGAGCAUGAACGCUUAGCAAAAAAAUCAUAUACUAGCCUUAAACUAUAAUCCAAAGUUGUCUUCACCUUCCCAGCAAAAAAUGGUCAAUCUACAUGUUGUUUAACAUCGGCUUUUUGCAAAUUUCAGCAUCCAAAAUCUGUAAAAGAAAUAAAACUUUCAUUUAGAAGACCUAUAUAUAAAGAUAAACAGAAAGAUGUGAUUAAAUCAAAUAACAAUUUCUGCAGCAUCUGUAACACUAAUUGCUGCAACAGUUGAGAUUUUGGUCGCCAUUUUUUGUGGGAAAUUGUUGUACACAAUACAGUGGUAGCAGUUGCAACACUAAUUGCUGCAACAGUUAGAACUUUGUAGGCUAUUUUAUUUUAGGAAGUGUUGAACACAAUAUUGUCGUGAUCAAAGAUUAUAGAAAAUAAGCUCAAGGAGAAAGGUAGCACAAGGAUGGAAAUGGGAAGCAAAUUAUGAACACAGUGAUAAGGGUAUAAUCUGGUUGAUUUGGGAUCCUCAACUAAUUGAGUGCAUAACUUUGAACAAGGCUGAGCAAUAUAUACACGGCAGAGUAGUUGUGAAGAGGAACAACAUGAAGUUCCAAUUGGUGGUGGUUUGUGGCUUGCAUACUAUUCAUACUAAACUUAAACUAUGGGAAGAUCUGAGAGGGAUUUCCACAAGGACACAAGAACCUAUGAUAUGCAUCGGAGACUUCAAUGUUAUUCUCUCAGGUGAAGAUAGACAACUAGGCAAUCCAUUUCAAAAGGGAGAAAUAAGGGACUUUAAUGAGUUUAUGCUUGAUACUGGUAUGUCAGAAUUGAAAUCAAUUGGCAGAACUUAUACAUGGUCUAAUGGGCGUACUUGUAGCAAAAUAGAUAGAGCAAUAGUGAAUGGUGAAUGGAUGCUGAAUAUGAUUCAAAUGGAGGUCACUGUAAUGAAUCCAGGUACUUCUGAUCAUUCCCCUUUGAGUUUGGAGUUAGACAGACAAAGAAGAUGCAGUCACAAGGCAUUUAUGUUUUUCAAUUGUGUUGCUGAGCAUCCAGAGUUUUUACAACGAGUGAUAUGAACGAUAUGAACGACAUAUGGCGAAUGCUAAAAAGGGUGAAAACAAACCUUAAACAACUCAACAUCAUGGAGUUUAAAAAAGUGAGUAACAGGGUCAAAGAUAGCAGAGGUCAACUGCAUAGUCUACAAGAGAGUAUGAGGGAUCCUAGAGCAGUAGCCCUCAAUAGACAGC